CACACGUGCUACAAUGGCGCAUACAAAGAGAAGCGACCUCGCGAGAGCAAGCGGACCUCAUAAAGUGCGUCGUAGUCCGGAUUGGAGUCUGCAACUCGACUCCAUGAAGUCGGAAUCGCUAGUAAUCGUGGAUCAGAAUGCCACGGUGAAUACGUUCCCGGGCCUUGUACACACCGCCCGUCACACCAUGGGAGUGGGUUGCAAAAGAAGUAGGUAGCUUAACCUUCGGGAGGGCGCUUACCACUUUGUGAUUCAUGACUGGGGUGAAGUCGUAACAAGGUAACCGUAGGGGAACCUGCGGUUGGAUCACCUCCUUA
rnacentral:rRNA from 1 species